rnacentral:rRNA from 1 species
GUGCCAGCAGCCGCGGUAAUACAGAGGUCCCAAGCGUUGUUCGGAUUCACUGGGCGUAAAGGGUGCGUAGGUGGUUGGGUAAGUCUGAUGUGAAAUCUCCGGGCUCAACCCGGAAAUGGCAUUGGAUACUAUUCGGCUAGAGGUUUGGAGGGGGGACUGGAAUUCUCGGUGUAGCAGUGAAAUGCGUAGAUAUCGAGAGGAACACCAGUGGCGAAGGCGAGUCCCUGGACAACACCUGACACUGAGGCACGAAAGCUAGGGGAGCAAACAGGAUUAGAUACCCUGGUAGUCC